rnacentral:rRNA from 1 species
UACGUAGGUGGCAAGCGUUGUCCGGAUUUACUGGGCGUAAAGAGCGCGCAGGCGGUCGUUCAAGUCGCGUGUGAAAGCCCCCGGCUCAACUGGGGAGGGUCACGCGAUACUGAUCGACUCGAAGGCAGGAGAGGGAAGUGGAAUUCCCGGUGUAGUGGUGAAAUGCGUAGAUAUCGGGAGGAACACCAGUGGCGAAGGCGGCCCCCUGGGCCGGCCCUGACGCUGAGCACGCGAAAGCGCGGGGAGCGAACGGG